CGGGCUGCCAUCAGCGCACCCAGGGCCCCAACCGACCCGGCCUUGAGCGCAUCCAAGGAUGGGGCGUUCGGCGCUUCACCUGCCCGCUGAAGUGCCAAGGCAGUGUCAGGGCCUCACCGCCCUCAAUGCUGAAAGGAUAAACACCGCAUGUCCAAGUCCUAAGUGGGGUUGGGUGCGCGGCAUUCAUCUCUGGUUUGUGUAAUUAUGAGCAUCAAUCGAGCCAGAAGAACGAAGGAACCGGCGGCAGUGAGGAGGAGCGAGCAGUGCCAGCAUCCCGGAGCGGGCGUGUUUUCCUCCCAGUCCUCCGCCUCUUCUCACCCCAGCGUGAACCACAGGUCAGAGCGGUGCUGGAGAUGCAGAUGGCUACAAGCUCACACGCAGCAAGGUGUUUCGGCAGCUCAGCCUAGCAGCAGGGGAUCCCGAGCUCCCACACCCUGGCACAUCCCUGCCAUCCAAGCCCACGUUGCCCUCCAGCUCCCCUGGCUGGGACAGGUUGGCACCAGGCAUUAAAUCUAAAACCUUUCCCAUGGAUCAAAAUGAGGGUCUGAGAGAAUCAACAUGCAGUUCCCUCUGGGCACCACAGGUUUGAACAGUUAGAGAUAACCAGGAUGUAUGCAGUGGCCCUUAAUUCCACAUACACGUUGGGGAUUUAACUGCGAGAAACCCUCUCUGUGUUGCUGAUAAAAAAACGUUCCAGAUGAGAUGUGCAAGUCGGAGAGCUCAGAGGAACCUGCCUGGAAUUGCUGCAGGUUGACUUAGCAAACAUCAGCGUCCCUCAAUUCUGCAUAGAGAUCUGCUGUAUUUCAUGGGGUUUAGCACCACUUCAGGAAGAAAGCCAUCCACCAGGAAAACUGCAAGCGAAGCUGCUUAGAAUAAAUCAUGUUAAGUCGUAUUAUCACCGCCAUGGCUUGGUCUGGUCAAUCAGGCUGAACUAUUUCAACUAUUUAAGGAAAACAAAACAGUACAAAACAAAACCAUCAGUUAUGAAUAUAUGGGUGUUCUGAAUUUUAUUUUUAUUUUCAUUUUAGUGCCAAGAACACAAAGCAAUCAUAUAGCAGUCUGUAACCUUAAGAACAACAAUACGAACAAUUCAGGCAUCCAAAGACGCCAAAUCCUUUUUUGACCACAUGAAGUAUGCAGAAAAAGAUUCAUCAUCAUCUGUUGUCUAUGACUGUCAAAUAAAUAUGUAAAGGAUAAUAAUAAAAAGACCCUUCCUCAGUCAAGGAGCUUCACAGCUAUUUUCUUAAUCAGGAUUUUGUCCCACUCUGUAGUUGAACACGUCCCACAAAAGCCUGAAGGCCACCAACUCCAUUAAAGCAAACCAAAUGAAACAAACCAGCCAACCAAACAGCCAACUAACCAACGAUGCAAUCAAACCAGCCAACUCACCAACCGACCAAACCAGCCUACCAGUGAACCAAACAACCAACCAGACAAACCUGCCAACUAACCAACCAAACCUGCCAACUAACCAAUCAAACCAGUCAACCAAACCAGCCAACCCAUUAACUGAUCAAACCAGGCAACCAAUGAGCCAACCAACCAAACCAGCCAACCAAAACCAGCCAACCAAUCAGCCAACUAAUCAGUCAUGCAAAUGAACCACCCCAAUCCACCAACCAACAAACCAGCCAACCAGCCAACAAAUCAACUAACCAGCCAACUAGCCAACCAACCAAUCAAUCAGUCAACUAACCAACCAACCAGCUAGACCAAUCAACCAACCAACCAACCAAACCAGGCAACCAACAACCAGCAGGACAAACUACCACCCAACCAGCCAUCCAACCAACCAAUCAGCCAAAGAGCAUGCUUUGUUGCCCAAGAUCAGCUCAAAUAAUGGAAUCUUAGUGUACUUCUGAUAAAAAUGGCCUCAGCUCUCCCAUGCUUUAUCCAAGGCUCAGCACAGCACAGUCCUGAUGCUCUGCUACACCAUGGAGGAUUUGCUUUUCUCCUCUUCAUCCCCUUUGAUUUCUGCAUCUAUAAUCACUCCAGCAGUCCAUGAAGUGCGAUCCAUGAUGCAGUCUUCCCUCCACAACCUUGAUGCAACCUAAACACAAGCUGAAAUAUGCUCACUUGAGGAAAUAUGGCAUGAAUCAGACUGAAAUGUGAGCUUUCAAAUAAAAAUGCAGUAAAGCAUCUUGUGUACUUUCUCAAGGUACGUUCACAUAAGUCAGUAACAGUGGUGAGAACCUAGGUCAUAAGGAUUCUAAUGGUCUCCCUGGCAGGAUUGGGUAUGGAACAGCCCACAGGUUAUCCCAGAAGAUCCAUUUUUUUGAUAUAAAGGACCAAGGUUCGGGGAUGUGGCUGCUACUGUCACCUUGCCCUGCAAUGCCAAGAGCGUGCUCCCAGGUGGGAAGUGGGAAGGGCAUCCUCAGGCUUCAAUGGACUGAGGAAAUAGAGGACAGAAUGAUGUGUUUGUGUUCACUGCCAUCCAUCCCACCUUCCCUCACAGAUCCUUUGCCCUGCAGAUGCCAGAUGGAGCUGGAACACUGAAAGCAAUUUUGCCUUUUGGCAGCCCAGGACACUUAGGAUUUCCCUUUCCCCCUUUUCACUUCUUGAGCCAAGCAUUUCUGUGUUUGCAGCCUGCAUCAUGGUAUAACCUGAUUCAGCCUAAGUUGGUCUAAUUUGGCAGGAGCCCAGUCAAAAUCUGGUCUGUCCAAACAAAUUAGUGGAACAAAUUAGUAGCAAGUCAGCAAUUGCCAGCUUGUACACGUCCACAAAAUCAUGACCUUAUUGCCUUCACUGUCAUUAAAAAUUUUCAGGUGGGGCUUAGAGAAGGAAAUUAAUAUGGCAGUGCCAUAUCACCUCUUUGAUGAAAAGCACACCAACAUCAAGCUCCAUCCACACUGACACGAUCCAUCUCCUACUGGUCCCAAGCCCAACAGAAUCUGAAGACACUGAUAAAGUACAUUAAAGAAGGUUUCUGUUUUGAACGACCUAGAAAUUAAAUCCAAAAUAUGUGGUGCAUAUAGGAGGAACUGAGAUUUUUCUAGGCACCCCAGCCAGCAUCUAUGGAGGAAUAAAUCAAAUCACACAUUCAAAGCCAUCUGACUUAAUUCAUCAUCAGCUGUUUUAAUACUGACAUUAAAACAACAACAACAACAAAACAAAACCCCGAAUUGGUCCAGGCUUUCCGUUUGGCUAAAACCAUAAUGCAAGGGCAACGGGAAGCUCGGAGUAACCGCUGUUAAACUCUAUCCGCCCUUCAUCUCCAAUGUAAAACUGAUGCUCGGUAGUCAACAAGAGAAAACUAUUUUUCCAUAACCAGUUCAUUUUGUUUGGCUUAAGCUAAAAUCCGAGGGCUGCCUUUUCAUUUACAGGCACGCUUUGUAUCUAGGUUAAGGACUUUAAAGUAUGCUAAGGAUAGGCUUUUGUUCUCCACCUCCUUGCUGUUCCCUCCUGGUUACCGUGGAGGUCAGCUCCCCCAUUAGAGCCCGUGGGGUGUGACACAUGCUGCAGCGCAGAGCAAGCUGCCACCGAUGCACUCCCUCCUUCACAAAUCCCCACAGGUCACAGCUCCCAGGGGCUCUCAGACAACUUUCUGUAUAAUUCAUGAUCGCUUCCUGAGGUAAAUAAUGCAUUCUGCGCCUCUGGUUAUUGUGCUCCUUCAAAGGCCCAGUCAAAUAAAAGUUUGUUGUUUAUCUUACUUUAAGAAUGACUGUUUGCCCAUCUCCCCUGACGUACCUUUAUCUUGUUUCUGCCUCCCACAAUAGCGAGAAGUCACUGCCAGGUAACCCCUUCCAUUUCAACCCUCUGAAAAAAAAAAUCAUGGCGUGCUGCGUUCAAUUCCAUGGGUAAAGUGCCCUGACCCCCGCUGUAUCUCUGAGAUUUACGCUGGGCUGUAUCCACUUUUUCCCCUUCAGUCACCACACACAGCAGCCAGGACUCAUUAUCUGCCAAGCAGCCUCCAUCAGAUGGAGCCCAUAGGGUUUGGGAUGGAUGCCACUGUCACUGGGUCCCCAUUUAGCUAUGUU
ensembl:lncRNA